UCUCAACAAUUCUUUCUCACUUUCUCUCUCUAGCUAUAUACAUAGGUCUUUUCUCUCUCUCUCUCUCUCACUCUAAAAAAAAUCUCAGAUCUAUAUAUAUACGCACGUAAAAAAAAUUGUAUUUGUAUUGCGGCAGUCUCUCAUUCGCUUGGUGCAGGUCGGGACCUUCCUCGCCGGAGACAAUGACGUCAGCUAACGGCGACGGUGACGUAGGCAUACCGGUAAAUACUUUUUUUUGGUGUUGUCUAUGACGAAGUUUCGGUCCCGCCUUGCAUCAACUGAAUAAGAGACUGCGGUGAAUUUUUUUUUAUUUUUUUUUACUGCGGUGAAUUUUGUUUUCGAUUAAAUCAGCUUUGUUGUGGAUCGAUCUAAUGAGGUGGAACAAGGUUAUGUUGCUUUAAAGCUGGAAAAGAAAUUGUGAGAGAGAAGGUAGCUAGCUGUAUAUAAUCUGUGACGUCUAUGGAAUACUGCUGGGCUUCAUUUUAAGUUCACUCUAAACAAAGGAAACGAAACAGUAUAACUGCUGCAUGUUUUCUUUUUACAUUGUUUCGAUUCCAUCAGCUUAGCACAUUUUGCCCUCUGACCCAGAAAGAUAAUUCUGCCAGAGUAUCUAUAUUUAAGUUUUAAGUUGCCUUGGAAGCUAAUUGUGCGUAUUUCAGUUUGAUCUCUAUAAAAAAAAUUGUAUGCGGUAUACGUAUUAAUGGCUAUACUCUUCCUUCUGUAUCUUGUAGCCACUAGCUUUGGCUAUAUGGGAAAAAGAAAUUGACAAUUCACUUCCUGAAACUGUGUUAGUAUGUAACAUUGUCAUUCUUUGGAUAGAAUCCGUGCAAUUUUCAUCAAACUAAAUAGUUCAGUCUGGGCUUUUACGUCGUAGGUUUUUGAAUUACAGUACAGUUUUUGUCCAAAGAGCAUUUACCAGCUGCAUAUCUGUCUUUUUUAUGAUAUUGACAUUUACUAUCUCUAUUCUUCAUCUGUAACGCCUUUCCUUGUCCCAACUCUAUGCCUAUUGAUCUUUGCAGUAGUUAUUUAAAAGUAUGAAAAUGGUUUGUGGCUGGACAUAUUGUGCAAAUUGCAAUUGGUUUCAAUCAACUGAAAUUGACCAUAGGAGAGACUUAAAUAUCAAUUUGUAAGGCUAGGUGUUCUAAUAUGAAUAAUGGGUUGAUUAAAAUUCAUGUCAAUCUUCACGUCUCACAACACAAAUGUUAAUGGGGUUACUGUUCCAGAAACAUACACAUUUGUUCUAACUUGUAACAACUUUAUUUGAUUUUUGUCCAGUUUAAUCAGUAUAACUUUUCAGCUGGAUGAAGUGGUAACCAAUAUUGUUAUUCUCAUGCACAAGCGCAGGAGCAAUAUAUUUUUGUGACCCCUCCCUUAUAACUUGGUUCCAUUUUGUUCACAUUUGUUAAGUAUGUAGCCUUGUUUUAUCACUUAUCGCAAAGGGUACAAUUGUUUUAUCCAAAAAUGAAAAUAUGGGUUGCUGAACUUACCGAAUAAUGAAGUCAUUUUUCUAGGUCUAGCACAUCUGAUGCUGCUGGGAAAAAUGGAAGAUGGGAAGUAUUUGCAUUUUUAUGGUCCAAAUGCCAGAGCACAUAAGGUUUAACCUGGCCGUGCUGCUUCUUAUUCAUAAACUACUCAUCCAGUGUAGCUAUGUUAUCUAUUUUUUUUGGGAUUUAGGGUGCUUUACAUAUAUCAUUAUUUGCUUUCUUCUAUUGUUUGUGAAGUUUCCUACUUGUCUUAGAAGGAAAGCAAAAUGUAAUAUUUUUAUUGUCUAGUGGAAAGAAUAUCAGCAGUUUGUAAUAUUUUUUUAUUCCUCCUAUUUGCUUUGAAUAACUUAUGAGUUGAUCUCUUGAGUA